UGUGAUGCAACAAGGCAUGAGUGUGCUACAGUACAGCCAGCUCAGGUUUGCUCUUCUGAGGCUGCCCAUCCCAGCUAUAAAACUCCCUGCCAAGACAAAUUGGAUUAAACUCAGGUCAGAUUAUGUGAGAACUGGGCUGCAGGGACUUUUCACUCUAGCCUUUCUUCAGUAAGGAGAACUCCACAGGCUCAGCAUGACAACAAGAGAAGAGAGAAAGAGAGACUGAAGCCAUAAAGAGCGAACCGAACCGAACCCCCUGGGGAGAGGAGAACAAAGAGAGAUAAGAUGCAAGCUCUAAUGCAUAGUGACUGAUGGAGGUAGCCCUUCAGAAACUACAUACGCGAAACCAAAACUACCUCCAGAUUGGGAGAAGAUUGCCUAGAGAUUCUGCAGGCAGAUUACACAAGAAAGAUGUGGAAGGCAAUAAUGCUGUCUUUAUAUUUUAUUAUUUUAUUACUAGUUUUUAAGAUGCCCAGCUUGCACAUGGAUUACAGAUACUUCCAAAUACAGUGGCAAAAUCCAUCCCUAGGUCUAACCUCAGUGGCUUUAGAGGAACAACGUUGACUUUGGAGCAGUACUGGCAGAGCUGGGGGGUGAGGGGGUGCACUUUUUUGCUUGUUUAGGGGCUGGAGUGCUCUAGCCCAAGCAGUAUCCCCAUUCCUGCACACCUGGGAAAAGCUGUGCUCAGUAGAAGGAGUAUGAAACAGGGUCCAAAACUCUGGACCACAAAAUAAGGACAUAAAAGAAUUAGCAGAACUCAAGAAAGAAGGGUGUUAAUACUGAACAGCUCAAUAUGCAUCACCUUCACCUCCUACCUUCAGCCUCCUCGCUGUCACUAACAAUGACCUACGCCCUUUGACUCUGAACAUUACUUACCCUCAUUUUUAGCCUAUUUUCAUCUCUGCAUCCUCCUUUUACCUGCAUCUCACAGCUGUGUCCUCCGUGUGUACACCCUCUCUUUCCCUUUUCUCAUGGUCUAUCUACAAACAUGACCAACACCACCUGUAUGUCACACAUUGCUUAGCCUCAUGUUUUUCUGAUUCCAAACUAAAACCUCACUAGCCAUUUCAAACAAAUGAUGGAGAAAGGCCACCAUCUGUCAAAGUUCCUCCUCCAAAAUAUACAAUAAAGUAUUGCUAAAACAGAAA